GGCGAAGCAUUGCUUUCCAAUCCUGCGGCCCUCUGCUUACUUCCCCUUGUGGGUUGUGGCAGGGGAAAGCGGGAGGCGCCUUGCCACGAUAGUCGUAUUAGGUUUUACCGACUCGGCGAAAGUGAAGAGGUUUGCUUUUUAGGAGCAGGCAGCGUCUGGCUUGACAAAAUUCUCAAAGUUUGACCUCAAAUCAGGUAGGAUUACCCGCUGAACUUAAGCAUAUCAAUAAGCGGAGGAAAAGAAACCAACCGGGAUUGCCUUAGUAACGGCGAGUGAAGCGGCAAAAGCUCAAAUUUGAAAUCUGGUACCUUUCGGUGCCCGAGUUGUAAUUUGGAGAAAGUGAUUCUGGGACUGGCCCUUGCCUAUGUUCCUUGGAACAGGACGUCAUAGAGGGUGAGAACCCCGUGAGGCGAGGUGAUCCAGUUCUUUGUAGAACGCUUUCGAAGAGUCGAGUUGUUUGGGAAUGCAGCUCUAAGUGGGUGGUAAAUUCCAUCUAAAGCUAAAUACAGGCGAGAGACCGAUAGCGAACAAGUACAGUGAUGGAAAGAUGAAAAGAACUUUGAAAAGAGAGUGAAAAAGGACGUGAAAUUGUUGAAAGGGAAGGGCAUUUGAUCAGACAUGGUGUUUUGUGCCCCUCGCUCCUCGUGGGUGGGGGAAUCUCGCAGCUCACUGGGCCAGCAUCAGUUUUGGCGGCAGGAUAAAUCUCUGGGAAUGUGGCUUCUUUCUUCGGGAGGGAGUGUUAUAGCCCAGGGGAAUACUGCCAGCUGGGACUGAGGUAUGCGACAUUUUGUCAAGGAUGUUGGCAUAAUGGUUAUAUGCCGCCCGUCUUGAAACACGGACCAAGGAGUCUAACGUCUAUGCAAGUGUUUGGGUGUGAAACCCGUACGCGUAAUGAAAGUGAAC
rnacentral:rRNA from 1 species